rnacentral:tRNA from 2 species
CGGGAUGUGGCUCAGUUUGGCUAGAGCGCUGCGUUCGGGACGCAGAGACCGCGUGUUCGAAUCACGCCAUCCCGACCA